rnacentral:rRNA from 1 species
UACGAAGGGGACUAGCGUUGUUCGGAAUUACUGGGCGUAAAGGGCCAGUAGGCGGCCAACUAAGUCCGACGUGAAAUCCCAAGGCUUAACCUUGGAACUGCGUCGGAUACUGGAUGGCUUGAAUUCGGGAGAGGGAUGCAGAAUUCCAGGUGUAGCGGUGAAAUGCGUAGAUAUCUGGAGGAAUACCGGUGGCGAAGGCGGCAUCCUGGACCGACAUUGACGCUGAACGGCGAAAGCUAGGGGAGCAAACGGG